rnacentral:rRNA from 1 species
CUAGCUGCGUGAAUUAAUGUGAAUUGCAGAACACAUUGAACAUCGACACCUUGAACGCACAUGGCGGCUUCGGGUUUACCCCGGGGCCACGCCCGUCUGAGGGUCGGUUGGCUAAAGCGAUCGCUACCUUGUCCGUAAAUUUUUUUUUUUGUCCGGUCUCUAUCAUUUCUCGGGCUCUCGCGAGAUUGUGCAUGAGACUGGUACAUCAAAAUAAUUUUGGUAGCGCAUUGGGCCUUCGUGAAUAGCGUACGGUUAGCGCCCUUGCUCUCUGCGCUUCGUCGCAUGUUCUCGUGGCUUUAAGUACAGGAUGCGCCGUCGUCCUAUCUGUCCAACGAGAUGCUGCUCGCCUCGUCGGUGGUCUCUCGCUGCGCGACAGGUACCCGGCUCGUGCUUUAAAAGCGAGCUGUACGGACCUGGGACGCGCGUGAAAUGUUCGGGAGAUGGGCCGCAUAGCAGCGAUUCGUUCGGACUUACGGCGUCCGUCUUACACAUUAAUUUGUGUGGCGUGAAACAUUUUUUAUCCGACCUCAGAUCGGACGAGAUUACCCGCUGAAUUUAAGCAUAUUACUAAGCGGAGGAAAAGAAACUAACAAGGAUUUCCCUAGUAACGG